GACAGAGGGUGCAAGCGUUAAUCGGACUUACUGGGCGUAAAGGGUGCGUAGGUGGUUGAUUAAGAGAGAUGUGAAAGACCCAUGCUUAACGUGGGGGAGUCAUUUUUAACUGAUUGACUAGAGUUCACUAGAGGGAAGGGGAAUUUCCGGAGUAGCAGUGAAAUGCGUAGAUAUCGGAAAGAACACCGGUGGCGAAGGCGCCUUUCUGGAGUGAAACUGACACUGAGGCACGAAAGCGUGGGUAGCGAACAGG
rnacentral:rRNA from 1 species